rnacentral:rRNA from 1 species
UACAGAGGGGGCAAGCGUUGUUCGGAAUUACUGGGCGUAAAGGGCGCGUAGGCGGCCUUCUAAGUCGAACGUGAAAUCCCUGGGCUCAACCCAGGAACUGCGUCCGAUACUGGAAGGCUUGAAUCCGGGAGAGGGAUGCGGAAUUCCAGGUGUAGCGGUGAAAUGCGUAGAUAUCUGGAGGAACACCGGUGGCGAAGGCGGCAUCCUGGACCGGUAUUGACGCUGAGGCGCGAAAGCGUGGGGAGCAAACAGG